UUUUUUUCCCUGUGGGAAUUCACAAGGUAACUUGCCUUUUGUAAUUGAUGGGAUUUGAACUUUAAAAAAAUAUAUAGUAAUUUUGUCAUUCAGAGUUCCUUUUCACAAACAAUAGAAUCUACACUGGAUAGUUAGAGCAGAGAAGGGACUUGUUAAAAGAGAUUAUUUAGCUAAGAAUUACGGGGGGGGGGACAUGGAAAUGGUCUUGAAUUUAAGCUUCUAGGAACAAGACCCAAGCCAUACUGAAUGCACAGCCCAGAGAGGAGACCUCAGCCACUGCUGCUCUGGGCUCAAUUCCCUGCCAAUCUUAACAGCUCCAUGGCACUCCUGUGGUAGGAACUCAUUAUUGCAACCGCUGAGAAAUCAUGGCCGUUGCCACUACCAGCCUCAAAGCUGGACACUUGUGUUUCUACCAACCACGGCAGAAAGUGAAGCCCUGUGUCAGCCUGCUUCCUGCCUCCCUCGAUCAAGGCUAGGGAGGAGGCAGAACAGUUACAAACAUUGACUUCAAACAACACAACACAUUUCUUCCUCCUACUAUAGCUCCAGCAAGGGCCAGGCUUGGAUGGAGAAGUCCCGUUCACUGUGGUCACUAAUGGACCAGGCUGCAGGGAGUUAGUUCUACCAUUGACAGACAGGGUCUUACUCUGUAGCCCAGGUAGGCCUGAAACUUGCAGAAGUCCUCCAGCCUCAGCCUCCCAGGAGCUAGGAUUACGGGUAAGAGAUUCCACCUCCAUACGUAUCACCUUCCUAACAGGGUGGGUUGGCUGCUCCUAGGCAAACAAGGCAAAGCAUCCUCCGAGCCUUCAAUCCCAGCCAGCACUUCAGGAGGCAAAGGCAGGAGCAUUUGGAUUCCAAAGCCAGCUUCAGUCUCUUAUGGGUGAAGAAGCCUGCUUGCAGACCAGCUUCCAGAGACGCUGGAAACACAUGCCAUUUCUGAUCUCUCCCCGCCCCCACGUGGAGAUAGAAAAGCCGUCUGAAGGAAGACAGUCAUUAACACAACGUAUAUUCCUGAACUCUACAGAAACACAAGAAAUCCGUGGCACCGCAUGCCCUGAACUACCAAAGAAGACCCAAGAAGACUCAGGCUUUUGAGUGGUUUACUCAGUCCCUCUCCAUGUCUUUGGGCUUACAGGAAGAGCAGACAAUGGUCCUUUUUAUACUGUCCCGGAAUAAUGUACUCGCUUUAUCCCACUCUAACCAACCACUUUACAAAGAGGUGCCAUGCCGUUUGGCCAUCAGUCUAGGGACAUCAAGUAAGGGUUCCCAGUGCUCCGGUGGCUCGGCGUAUCCCAGGCCUGAUUGCUGGUAACGCAGUGUCUUAAUUAGAGACAAGCAAAUAGCAGCAUCUGCUGCUCAGCAAGGAAAAGUAAUUGUCUAACUCCUCGAAAUCUGAGGUCAAGACUACAACAAACGGCCUUCUCCAAAUUCAAAAUAUCCACGUCCCCCUUAGCCACUUGCAGACCACCCAUGCUGGACCCUUUUUAUCGUCGUAUCUUCAAAUGCUUCAGCUAAUAUCUGGCCCAAGGUCUGAGAUGAGACAACAGACUGUACUUAAGUGGCUGCAUUGCUAGCACCUAAAAAAGACUCCCAGAUCCUCACACUGGAGCACUGUGUUUUUAUGUACGUAUAUGUGU
rnacentral:lncRNA from 1 species